rnacentral:misc_RNA from 1 species
CUGCAGUAUCUUCCAUGCAUGGAUGAGAAAUUAAGUCAUAUAUCCUUUCCAAUAAGCUACCAUGUAUGGAAUCAACCCUGAAAACAUAGCAAACACUCUUCCAUCUGAGUCAUACCAUCCAUACAUAAUCAAAAUAUUACAUAAUCACAUUUUCACCACUACUAUACCACUUCCAAAAUCAACCCAGGAUCCCAAGUAAACCUCUACUCUGUAAACAAUCUCACUAUCCCUUACUCAAUAUAAUAAAGAAACUAUCCUGACAUUUAUCUGUUUCAAACAUUUCACAUUGACAGCGGUCAGUGUUAUUUACAAACACACUGAAACCUGCCAAUCCAAAUAUUUCCCUGAAUGACAUCUACUUGUGGCUGAACAUCCUUCAUGCACUUUCAACUCAUCACAAACCAAGCACAAACAUAUUUCAGUUGGAUGGUGAAUCAGAGAUUUAUCAAUCAGUGGAGCCUCUUGCGUCAUGAAAGCUCGCAGUGUGGAAAUGACAAGCAACAAAUCAGCUAAUUGCACAUAUAAACCCCCACAACCAAUCUCAGGCCAUUUAUAUCAGAUGGGAAUCUGUUAAAGGAUGGUCGCAUCACGGCAAAACAUUCUGUAUGUGGGUCAAACCGACCAUUACAUCAGCCUGCCAUCCCUGGCGGAGUCUAUUUACGUAUCUCCAACCUCCAGUUUUUCAGACCCUCGAGACAACACAGCUCAACUUGUGGAGGGGGCAAGGUGUAGCGUACCUAGUGUCACAGCGGUCUGUCAUCCACCCGCCAACUGUUUACCAAGUCAUCAGCCAAUCAGAGAGCAGUAUGCAAGUGAUGAAUCACCUGUGGUCUGGAGGUUAGACACGCUCAGGUAUAGAAGGCUGUGUCAGUAUCUGAGGCCGUCAGUCGAGGGGGUCGCAGUUGAGGGAACGCUACCUCAUAGUCCUAUGCCAGUGUCAUCAUGCAGUUUUUCUGAAAUAAAACACACAAGAUAAGUGGUUCAUUCUGUGAUUCA